UUGUCCAACUGGUGUUCAUGCAAUGAAAACUGCCUAUAAUCAUUUUCAAUCGAUGAUUUCUGUAACAAGCUCAGACUUAAAAGAGUUAAAGUAACUGGAGAUAAAGAAGUAUGCGAUGGAUUUAAUUUCCCAACUACAGAGUACUCCAAAGAAUAAUCUGUAUCUCAAUGAUAUCCUGACCUAUCGAAUCGAUAUCCUGGUAAUCCACUUACACACAU